CAGCCGCCGCGGGAAUACGAAGGGGGCUAGCGUUGUUCGGAAUUACUGGGCGUAAAGCGCACGUAGGCGGACAUUUAAGUCAGGGGUGAAAUCCCGGGGCUCAACCUCGGAACUGCCUUUGAUACUGGGUGUCUCGAGUCCGGAAGAGGUAAGUGGAACUGCGAGUGUAGAGGUGAAGUUCGUAGAUAUUCGCAAGAACACCAGUGGCGAAGGCGGCUUACUGGUCCGGUACUGACGCUGAGGUGCGAAAGCGUGGGGAGCAAACAGGAUUAGAUACCCGCGUAGUCCCUGUCUCUUAUAA
rnacentral:rRNA from 1 species